UCGAGGAUCUUCGGCAAUGAGCGCAAGCUUGACCGAGCGACGCCGCGUGAGCGAUGAAGGCCUUCGGGUUGUAAAGCUCUUUAGUGGGGGAGAAAAGCCCGCAAGGGUGUGAUCUAUCCCAAAAAUAAGCACGGGCUAAGUUCGUGCCAGCAGCCGCGGUAAGACGAACCGUGCGAACGUUGUUCGGAAUCACUGGGCUUAAAGGGCGCGUAGGCGGGCUGUCAAGUCUGGGGUGAAAUGCCGCGGCUCAACCGUGGAACUGCCUUAGAUACUGACGGCCUCGAGGAAGGUAGGGGCAUGCGGAACUGUAGGUGGAGCGGUGAAAUGCGUUGAUAUCUACAGGAACUCCGGUGGCGAAAGCGGCGUGCUGGACCUUUUCUGACGCUGAGGCGCGAAAGCUAGGGGAGCAAACGGGAUUAGAUACCCCCGUAGUCC
rnacentral:rRNA from 1 species